CUACGGGUGGCAGCAGUGGGGGAUAUUGCACAAUGGGCGAAAGCCUGAUGCAGCAACGCCGCGUGAAGGAUGACGGAUUUCGGUCUGUAAACUUCUAUCAGCAGGGAAGAAAAUGACGGUACCUGACUAAGAAGCCCCGGCUAACUACGUGCCAGCAGCCGCGGUAAUACGUAGGGGGCAAGCGUUAUCCGGAAUUACUGGGUGUAAAGGGUACGUAGGCGGCUGAUCAAGUCAGAUGUGAAAGCCCGGAGCUCAACUCCGGGAUUGCAUUUGAAACUGGUCGGCUAGAGUGCAGGAGAGGAAAGUGGAAUUCCUAGUGUAGCGGUGAAAUGCGUAGAUAUUAGGAAGAACACCAGUGGCGAAGGCGGCUUUCUGGACUGUAACUGACGCUGAGGUACGAAAGCGUGGGGAGCGAACAGGAUUAGAUACCCUAGUAGUC
rnacentral:rRNA from 1 species